rnacentral:tRNA from 1 species
AAUGUUGUGCCUGAAUAAAGGAUUACCAUGAUAAGGUAAAUAAUGUAAAUAAUUAAUAUUACCCUCAUUA